AGUUUGAUCCUGGCUCAGAUUGAACGCUGGCGUGGAUGCUUUACACAUGCAAGUCGAACGGCAGCACGGACUUCGGUCUGGUGGCGAGUGGCGAACGGGUGAGUAAUGUGCAUCGGAACGUGCCUAGUAGGGGGAUAACUACGCGAAAGCGUAGCUAACAACGCAAUAAUGGCCCUCUCUGGGAAAAGCGCAGACCUUUCCCGCCCGGCACUAUUAGAGCGCCGAUAUCGGAUUUUCACAUUAGCUUGUGCUGCGGGGUGCAACGGCCCGCCCUGCUGCUGACGAUCCGGGUGUGGGCCGGUUUGAGAGACGACCGUCACACUGAUCGAGACACGGCCCAGACUCCUACGGGAGGCAGCAGGGAAUUUUGGACAAUGGGGGAAACCCUGAUCCAGCCAUCCCGCGUGUGCGAUGAAGGCCUUCGGGUUGUAAAGCACUUUGGCAGGAAAGAAACGGCACGGAUAAUACCCGUGCAACUGACGGUACCCAGAAUAAGCACCGGCUAACUACGCCAGCAGCCGCGGUAAUACGUAGGGCGCAAGCGUUAAUCGGAAUUACUGGGCGUAAAGCGUGCGCAGGCGGUUCGGAAAGAAAGAUGAAACUUCAGAGCUUAACUUUGGAACUGCAUUUUUAACUACCGAGCUAGAGUGUGUCAGAGGGAGGGAAUUCGCGUAUAGCAGUGAAAUGCGUAGAUAUGCGGAGAGGAACACUGAUGGCGAAGCGCAGCCUCCCGGGAUAACAUUGACGCUCAUGCAACGAAAGGGGGAGCAAACAGGAUUAGAUACCCUGUAGUCCACGCCCUAAACGAUGUCAACUAGCCGUUGGGGCCUUCGGCCUGGUAGUGCAGCUAACGCGUGAAGUUGACCAAAUGGGGAGUACGGUCGCAAGAUUAAAACUCAAAGGAAUUGACGGGGACCCGCACAAGCGGUGGAUGAUGUGGAUUAAUCGAUGCAACGCGAAAAACCUUACCUACCCUUGAUAUGUUCGGAAUCCCGAAGAGAUUUGGGAGUGCUCGCAAGAGAACCGGAACACAGGUGCUGCAUGGCUGUCGUCAGCUCGCGUCGUGAGAUGUUGGGUUAAGUCCCCGCAACGAGCGCAACCCUUGUCAUUAAGGCUGAAAAGGGCACUCUAUCGAGACUGCCGGUGACAAACCGGAGGAAGGUGAUGACGUCAAGUCCUCAUGGCCUCUUAUGGGUAGGGCUUCACACGUCAUACAAUGGUCGGGACAGAGGGUCGCCAACCUCGCGAGGGGGAGCCAAUCCAGAAACCUGAUCGUAUCCGGAUCGCAGUCUGCAACUCGACUGCGUGAAGUCGGAAUCGCUAGUAAUCGCGGAUCAGCAUGUCGCGGUGAAUACGUUCCCGGGUCUUGCACACACUGCCCGUCACACCAUGGGAGUGGGUUUUACCAGAAGUAAAGUUAGCCUAACCGUAAGGAGGGCGAUUACCACGGUAGGAUUCAUGACUGGGGCGCAAGCCGUAACAAGGUAACCCCA
rnacentral:rRNA from 1 species